UACAGAGGGGGCAAGCGUUGUUCGGAAUUACUGGGCGUAAAGGGCGCGUAGGCGGCCGCCUAAGUCAGACGUGAAAUCCCUCGGCUCAACCGGGGAACUGCGUCUGAUACUGGGUGGCUUGAAUCCGGGAGAGGGAUGCGGAAUUCCAGGUGUAGCGGUGAAAUGCGUAGAUAUCUGGAGGAAUACCGGUGGCGAAGGCGGCAUCCUGGACCGACAUUGACGCUGAGGAGCGAAAGCCAGGGGAGCAAACGGG
rnacentral:rRNA from 1 species